AGUAGUUUGAUCAGUGGCUCAGGAUGAACGCUGGCGGAGUGCCUAACACAUGCAAGUCGAGCGGCAGCGCGAGUUAGUUUACUACUUGGCGGCGAGCGGCGGACGGCUGAGUAACGCGUGGGAACAUGCCCCAAAGUGAGGAAUAACUGCCCGAAAGGGUAGCUAAUGCCGCAUACGAUCUUCGGAUUAAAGGAUUUAUCCGCUUUGGGAGUGGCCUGCGUACGAUUAGAUAGUUGGCGAGGUAAUGGCUCACCAAGUCUACGAUCGUUAACUGGUUUGAGAGGAUGAUCAGUCAGACUGGAACUGAGACACGGUCCAGACUCCUACGGGAGGCAGCAGUGAGGAAUCUUCCACAAUGGACGAAAGUCUGAUGGAGCAACUCCGCGUGCAGGAUGAAGGCCUUCGGGUCGUAAACUGCUUUAUGAGUGAAGAAUAUGACGGUAACUCAUGAAUAAGGGUCGGCUAACUACGUG
rnacentral:rRNA from 1 species